AUGGCUUCCAACAACAGCACCAACGCGGCCUCCGAGGUGAGCAACGCCAUCACCGACCUCAACGACCACCUCGCCACCGCCCUCGGCACCGGCGACGAGGGCAAGACCACCGUCAUCACGCUGGCGGGGGAGAACAACGGCGCGGCCAUGGACGCGGAGGACCUGGUCGUCGUCGAGGCCGGCGGCGAGGGGGACGAGGAGGAGGGCGAGGACGAGGAGGUGCACGUGGCCGCCUACACCAACAGCAACUACCAGGCGGUGAACAACUCGGUGCUCCUCGCCGGCAGCUGCGCCGUCAGGGACCCCGGCGUCCACGUCGUCAUCGUGGAGCACGUCGACGACAUCCGCGACUGCGACGGCGACGAGAUCUUCGAGGACGGCGAGGUGGCCAAGUGA
rnacentral:rRNA from 1 species